GAUAAGAUGGUGGUUGCAGCAGAUGAGUUCAUGUGCACCAAUGCUCAGUGAUACGAACGGAUUGGAGCAGUUUCUCUUCUUUUAAGAUCUGUAAUUCGUGAUUUAUUUGUGGAAGACAAUGGGAACGACGAUGAAAUAGAGAUUAUUGAAAUGGCUGAAGGUAUCAUUCAAAGAAGACGUAGAACAUGCAUAACUAAUUAUAUUGAACAAAUAGUGCCAAUGUAUACCAAUGAAGAAUUUAUUAUGCAUUAUCGUUUAAAAAGAAUGCUUUUCAGAAGCAUGGUGGACAGAUUUAGUUAUUGGGCACAUUUUAGAAAACUAGGAGGACAUGGAGGAUUUGAAGUAGUUUCGGCUGAAAAACACAUUCUUACUUUUCUAUAGUUUGCUGGGCAUCAAAGUGCAAGUUUCAGGGAUGUUGCUGAUAGAUUUAAUUUAUCUCUUAGUGCCCUUGAAUCAGUGUUACAAAGAGUCACACAGUUUUUAUAUGAUUUAAGAAAUUAAUUUAUUCGGUAUCCCACUGAGGCAGAAAAGCAGAGAACGCAGAGAUACUAUGUAGAAAAUAAAAAUUUUCCAGGAAUAAUUGGUUCUAUUGAUGGUUCACACAUCCGUAUAGACAAACCUUCUGAAGACCCAGUAGCCUAUAUCAAUAGAAAACAUUAUUUUUCCAUUCACAUGCAGGGAACAGUUAAUGAGCAGAACAAGUUCUUAGAUGUGUUAAUUUGAUAUCCUGGCUCAGUGCAUGAUGCAAGAGUAUUUGCAAAUUCUAGUCUGGCUGAAGACUUACCAGCACUCUGUCACAACGGAAACAUAAUUCUUGGAGACGCUGCAUAUCCAUGUCUUCCUCAAUUAAUUACUCCAUAUCGGGAUAAUGGACAUCUGACACAGGCCCAAAGAAACUUUAAUCGUAUACAUAGUCAGUGCAGAAUUUCUGUAGAACAUACAUUUGGAGUAUUGAAACAGCGUUUCAGGCAAUUAUAUUUCCUUAAGCUGAGGAACAUGCAGUUCAUCGUUAAAUUCAUUUUCGCUUGUUGCGUCCUUCAUAAUAUGGCUGACUUUAAUGGUAUGCAAUACAUGGAAGAAUCCGAGGACGACAAUCAUGCUGAUGUAAAUGCACAGGUGUUGUUACCCCAUGUCCUGCCAGAAGAUAGGGAUGAAAAUCCUGUU
rnacentral:lncRNA from 1 species